CAUGCAAGCUCGAGCGGAUCUUCAUUAGCUUGCUUUUGAAGAUCAGCGGCGGACGGGUGAGUAACACGUGGGCAACCUGCCUGUAAGACUGGGAUAACUUCGGGAAACCGGAGCUAAUACCGGAUAAUCCUUUCCCUCACAUGAGGGAAAGCUGAAAGACGGUUUCGGCUGUCACUUACAGAUGGGCCCGCGGCGCAUUAGCUAGUUGGUGAGGUAAUGGCUCACCAAGGCGACGAUGCGUAGCCGACCUGAGAGGGUGAUCGGCCACACUGGGACUGAGACACGGCCCANACUCCUACNGGAGGCAGCAGUANGGAAUCUUCCGCAAUGGACGAAAGUCUGACGGAGCAACCCC
rnacentral:rRNA from 1 species